rnacentral:rRNA from 1 species
CCCGUUGUACACACCGCCCGUCACACCAUGGAGGUUGGUUUACCUGAAGACGGUGCGCUAACCGCAAGGGGCAGCCGGCCACGGUAGGAUCAGCGACUGGGGUG